rnacentral:rRNA from 1 species
AUAGGUGCCCGUACCGCAAACCGACACAGGUAGUCAAGAUGAGAAUUCUAAGGUGAGCGAGCGAACUCUCGUUAAGGAACUCGGCAAAAUGACCCCGUAACUUCGGGAGAAGGGGUGCUCUUUAGGGUUAACGCCCAGAAGAGCCGCAGUGAAUAGGCCCAAGCGACUGUUUAUCAAAAACACAGGUCUCUGCUAAACCGUAAGGUGAUGUAUAGGGGCUGACGCCUGCCCGGUGCUGGAAGGUUAAGAGGAGUGGUUAGCUUCUGCGAAGCUACGAAUCGAAGCCCCAGUAAACGGCGGCCGUAACUAUAACGGUCCUAAGGUAGCGAAAUUCCUUGUCGGGUAAGUUCCGACCCGCACGAAAGGCGUAACGAUUUGGGCACUGUCUCAACGAGAGACUCGGUGAAAUCAUAGUACCUGUGAAGAUGCAGGUUACCCGCGACAGGACGGAAAGACCCCGUGGAGCUUUACUGUAGCCUGAUAUUGAAAUUCGGCACAGCUUGUACAGGAUAGGUAGGAGCCUUUGAAACGUGAGCGCUAGCUUACGUGGAGGCGCUGGUGGGAUACUACCCUAGCUGUGUUGGCUUUCUAACCCGCACCACUUAUCGUGGUGGGAGACAGUGUCAGGCGGGCAGUUUGACUGGGGCGGUCGCCUCCUAAAAGGUAACGGAGGCGCUCAAAGGUUCCCUCAGAAUGGUUGGAAAUCAUUCAUAGAGUGUAAAGGCAUAAGGGAGCUUGACUGCGAGACCUACAAGUCGAGCAGGGUCGAAAGACGGACUUAGUGAUCCGGUGGUUCCGCAUGGAAGGGCCAUCGCUCAACGGAUAAAAGCUACCCCGGGGAUAACAGGCUUAUCUCCCCCAAGAGUUCACAUCGACGGGGAGGUUUGGCACCUCGAUGUCGGCUCAUCGCAUCCUGGGGCUGUAGUCGGUCCCAAGGGUUGGGCUGUUCGCCCAUUAAAGCGGUACGCGAGCUGGGUUCAGAACGUCGUGAGACAGUUCGGUCCCUAUCCGUCGUGGGCGUAGGAAAUUUGAGAGGAGCUGUCCUUAGUACGAGAGGACCGGGAUGGACAUACCUCUGGUGUACCAGUUGUCGUGCCAACGGCAUAGCUGGGUAGCUAUGUGUGGACGGGAUAAGUGCUGAAAGCAUCUAAGCAUGAAGCCCCCCUCAAGAUGAGAUUUCCCAACUUCGGUUAUAAGAUCCCUCAAAGAUGAUGAGGUUAAUA